rnacentral:misc_RNA from 1 species
AAAGUCGUAACAAGGUAUCCGUAGGUGAACCUGCGGAUGGAUCAUUAACACUUAUCCAAGUACCUACUAGUAAACCUUUUUUGGUCACCCGAGUUUCCGCGACCGGAUCAUGGAACCCACAAACGGCAGAGCAAGAGCUUUCGGGUUCUUGCUGUUCCACCGGUAGAAACUCGUUUGUUUUCCGUCUCCUUCACUGGAAUCGGAACUCAAACGCAGUCUUGAGAGUCGACACUAAAAACUCUUCCGGUAGGCGCAAGCUUACUGCAGUUUCAUUCUGGCUGCUGUUUUGUAUUGUCAAACCAAUUUAACGAUUUGUAACCAUAUGUCUGAUUUAAGGGUUGGUCCGAAAGGAUUUCAACUUUAUUAUUUCGCGUAAUUUUUAUACAACUGUUAGCAACGGAUAUCUUGGUUCUC